CAUUGGAGAUCUGAAGUGGGUUUUGCAAAGCGUACCCUCUACUUCUUGUCAGGCAACAAAACCAGCCAAGAUCUUGUGAUGGAAUUUCUCAUUGCAUAUAAUCCAGAGACAAGAUAGCUCUUUCAAAUCGUGCGAAAUGAAACUUACUAAUUUUUUGUAACAAUUCAUAAGAAUAUUUUAUUUAUCACACGUUGUGAAUAAACACAGAGCCUGUAGUCUAUGCCUGGACCCCUUUUAAACAAACAAGUGAAUGAAUUAUAUGUGUUUUUGCUAUCUGCUAAGGAUGUGUACUUGUUUUCCUCAAUGUCUAUGUGAAGGAAAAAAUGCAUUGAAAAAUUGCUAUUUUCUCGAAUUUGUGAGCUCUUCUCCCCUCCCCAGCAUUUGGAAGGAAGGCUGAAAGUUCUAACCAUCAUCAGUUCCCCUGGCAACUGGC